UACAGGGGGUGCAAACGUUGCUCGGAAUUAUUGGGCGUAAAGAGCUCGUAGGCGGCUUGUCACGUCGGGUGUGAAAGCCCCGGGGCUUAACCCCGGGUCUGCAUUCGAUACGGGCAGGCUAGAGUGUGGUAGGGGAGAUCGGAAUUCCUGGUGUAGCGGUGAAAUGCGCAGAUAUCAGGAGGAACACCGGUGGCGAAGGCGGAUCUCUGGGCCAUUACUGACGCUGAGGAGCGAAAGCGUGGGGAGCGAACAGG
rnacentral:rRNA from 1 species